rnacentral:lncRNA from 1 species
AAUAGCUAUACAUGUAAAGGGAACUGGUUUAUGAGAGACACUCAUUUCACAUACUAAGCUAUCUAAUCACAUCUCACUUAAAAGAUAAUUGUUGAAUACUUACAAUUUGCCCGAAACCAGCUUUCCAUGACGAAAGGUGUCCAAAAACAGCUAAAGAGCUGUGCUUCUUUAGGUGUCUUAAAACCUCUUUUGAGAGAUGACAAAUAAUAAAGCAGCUUAGAAUGUUGGAAGUUAAGUUCUAAAACUAAAAAUGAGUGUCAUAUUGUUUCAGGGAGAUAAAGGCCUGUGGGGACUGGAGCAGAUGGAAGGCUUUAGAGAAGGAAGCCCCGAGAUAACGAGGGUGAAUUCAUCUGGUUGGGAGCGGAAAGCUCUUGAUGGACAUUUGGGUUGUUUCCAGUUGAGGAAUAUCACAAAUAAGCUGCUAUGAAUAUUUGUAUGUGAGUCUUUCGUUUCUCUUGGAUACCUUGGACUGGAAAGUGGAAAAGCUGCCAACCUGGGAACACCACUGGACACAGAACGACAACAACAAGAGUCUAAGAAAAGUUUUCUCUCUAGCCAUAAGACUAGGAAAGGGGCAACCCUGACAAACCAAACACUUUUAGAUAAUUGACACUCUACUCUCUUACAUUACAGAAAAAUUUGAAAUUUGCAUCCAGCACACCCCCACCAGCAAUAUGGGAAUGCCAGGCACAGGUUUCCACACUUGCAUCUCAGC